GACGAACGCUGGCGGCGUGCCUAAUACAUGCAAGUCUAGCGACCAGACGAGGCGCUUGCUCCUCACACGUUAGCGACGGGUGGGUGAGUAACCCUUUGAUUACCUACCUAUCAGCCCGGGAUCACUUUGAUACACCGUAGCUACCACCGGUUAAUAUACUGGACCGCAUGGCUCAAUAGUGCAAGACGGUUUUGCUGUCACUUAUAGAUGGAUUCGCGCCGCAGUAGCUAGUUGGUAAGGUAACGGCUUACCAAGGCAACGAUGCGUAGCCGGCCUGAGAGGGUGAUCGGCCGCACUGGAACUGAGACACGGUCCAGACUCCUACGGGAGGCAGCAGUAGGGAAUCUGCCGCAAUGGGGGAAAGCCUGAAGGAGCGACGCAGCGAGAGUGAGGAAGGUCUUCGGAUCGUAAAACUGUAAUAUUAGGGUGGAACGAAUGUAUGAGGAACAAUGCACGGCUUGACGGUACCGGGUCAGAAAGCCACGGCUAACUACGUG
rnacentral:rRNA from 1 species